GAACCCGAAGUAUUUAUAUACUUAAUAAUGUUAUCGUUUGAUGUGAAGGAUGAUGUUGAUGUUUUUUUUUUAUGGCUGCACAGGUGAAGAGCCGAAGACAAAUUUCUCACUUUGUGAGACAAUAAAGUUAACUUUGGUCUUGAUCUUAAAACCAUCCCCUGUGACCACUUCUGCUCCCUGCACUGUGAUAUUGUUUGUUCUGUUAAACUAGUUUUUUUUUUUUUAGGUUUUAGCAUUUUAUUCAUGUUUGUUUAGAAGUAUUUUUUUAUUUUUGAAAUAAAGAAAUUGUGUUAAAUAUAAAAAAUGUAUGCCAGUUUUCAUUAGGUCUAUGAUUAUUGUCUUUGGUGGUUAAACUGUAUAAGGGGCAACCGCUGAAAUCUGCAUAAAUAAAAAAGAAUUGCGAUAAAUUCUGACUAUAGCGAUGUGAUUGUUGCAAAUCCUUUCAUUGGGAUAACAAUGUCACUGAAUUUACUCGCGCAGUCCUAUACCCUACCCUGACCUAUGUUUUUAUUUUGUUCUCUUUAAGGAGGAUUAUUAUGAUUACAAAGAGGUGGAGAAUCUCAAGUCCCUGGAAGAAAUAGGACUGCAGACUUUCACUUUAAGUCUUUGAGAAGGCUGUAAUCAUUCUAAUUGAAGUGACUUUGACAGGGAAGUGUACGGAGUGUGGAGUUCUUCAUGCUGAUCGCCCUCCACAGUGGAGAGCAGUGUCCUGACUUGUGAUGAGCUUAUUCUACAGUAUAUCAAGGGGUGGUGUGACCUGUCUGUAGGUCAGGUUUUGGUAAAAGGCGGAUUUUGGGCUCAUCCAGAAGACCAUCCACCGACAAGAGCAUCCACUAUAGAACUGUGAGCAGCUAACUGGAUAGUGAGCCCAACCUUCGAGACCUCAAGUGGGAUUAAGAAGACUGUUUCUUCUAAGGAAGAACUUCCUUCGCUACUUAGAGCACAGAUUAAACAGAAACACACACCUGGAUUGAACCCCAACGACAAAGACUGGGCUUAGACACUUCAAAUGUUUGUUUUAUUUCAUGUGCACACUUUAUUAAAUUAGUUGUUAAUUGCAUUAGUAAAUUGUAUAUUGUAAUAUUUGUGUUCCUUACAUACAAAGUUUGAAAAUGUAUUCCUGUGUGCGUCUCUUGACUGGUAUUCAGACCUUGGGCUCCAGGUGUCCUAGUCUUCUGAUGUUAGUCCACCUUCAACACUUUAUGUACAGUAACAUGGGUUAAAAACAACUAUGCUUUUUCCCUGAAUUUGAUCAGAUAUGUUG